UAAGGUGCAGCUCAGUGGUAUAGCACAUAUUUAGCACAUACAAGGCCAUGGGUUCAAUCCCCAUCACCAAAA
rnacentral:tRNA from 1 species